rnacentral:misc_RNA from 1 species
GGCAAGCAGACGAACAUGUGCACUUAUGCCAGUCACCUUAAAAGUGUUUGGCUGCUAGCCGAAUUUCUCAAUGAUAAAAUGGUUAGCAAAACCCCCACGAGGUAUAACGGUGAUAUUGUUCGACUAACGUGCACCUGCUAGGUGAAUUUUCAUUAGGUCGCCUAUUACUGUCGGCUUAGUUGAAAGAACAGUGAUUUGACAAAGUAGCGGUGCUUCGCUUCGUGGGCGUUCAGGUGGAUCCAUGUAACCUAGCUGAUGAUGUUGUGACUUGAUGCUGCAUGAUUGGGAGAUAGUUAACAGUCUUAUAGCGGAUGUGCUAGCACCGGUCAUUUCAUGAUCUGAAAGUCAAAACUUUCAAAAUGAAUUCAACAAAUCAUUCUGGAAACUCAAGUGGACCCAUCGAGGUGUCUUUUGACAAUCUGUACCCCGCCAUUCUGCAAUGCUUUGUCAUCAUUCUGGGAGGGUACAUCGCUGGUCGGGCAAGCAUCAUCACCAGCACUCAGGGCAAAGGCAUCGGCUCGUUUGUCUCCAACUUCUGUCUUCCUGCCCUUCUCUUUAAGAGCAUGUGUGAGUUGAACUUCAGCUCUGUCAACUGGACGUUUCUCUGGAGCAUCUUGAUUGCCAAGACUUUUGUGUUUGUUGUCGUGGUUCUGGUCACUCUGGUUGUUAAGCGACCUCUGAAUCUUGGCUAUGCGGGACUCAAUGGUAUUUUCAGCACACAGAGUAAUGACUUCGCUUUGGGAUAUCCUAUAUUACAGGCCCUGUAUCAGAACAACCACCCAGAGUACCUGCAGUAUAUCUACUUGGUGGCCCCCAUCUCCCUCGUCUUUCUCAACCCGCUCGGCUUUGUGUUGAUGGAAAUACACAAGCGUCGCACCGAGUCGGUGGACUCGACGCACUCCACACGUCGGCUCAUCUGGCAUGUGUUCAAGGGAAUCAUCACCAACCCCAUUGUGUUCAUGACAGCCAUCGGAAUAGCAGGAAACUUCAUCUUCAAGCAGCAUGUGCCUCUCAUCCUUGAUGACAUUCUGACAGUUCUAGGGAAUGCGUUCAGUGCGGCUGCGCUGUUCUACCUGGGCCUCAGUCUGGUGGGGAAGGUAAAGAGUCUCACCGGCAUCGCGCUGCUCGGCCCAGUCCUCCUCAUCGGUGCAAAGUCACUCCUGCUUCCGCUGAUAACGUGGGAGGUGAUUGGCUGGCUAGAUAUGCAGUCCAAGUGUAAUGACAGUGAGGCUCUCAGCAUGUAUGGCUUCCUGUACGGCACAUUCCCCACAGCGCCCUCCGUCUUCCUCUAUGCCAGUCAGUACGGCUUCGGACAGGAUGUGAUUGCAACUGGUAUGGUGGCAGGGACGUUCAUCUCGGCACCCCUGAUGUUUGUCUCGGCCAAGAUGAUGACAGUGGUGGUCAACAACGAGAUGGACUACAAGGCUCUCCUCCUGGACACCAACUUCGACACCAGCAUCGUCAGCAUAAUCUGCUGUGUUUGGGUGAUGGGCGUAUUGAUUCUCAGUGGCAAAUGGCGACGUGUACCACAUAGAUUUACGCUGUGUCUUGUCUUUUCUCAGCUGGUGUCGUGUGUGGGGAUGCUGAUGUACACUGACAGUGACAGGGUGGCCAUGUGGAAGGAUUACCUCCAGAUCACGCUGCUCCUACUGGGGGUGUUCAGCACCCGAACGUGGACUGCCAUGGUGUCUGUCGCGCUCUGUCUUCUCCAUGUCCGCGGCCUCUGCUUCCUGCUUCGUGUUCAAGUCUGGCUCAUCUUCUUUGGAUUUGGAAUACCGUUCUUGGUUGUGGGUGUCCUGUUUCUGCUCGGCCACGACCAGAUGGUGCAUGAGAUGGACCCCUCUUUCCACAUGGGGCAGGUGCAGAUGAUAUUGGGACCCGAAAAUCGACACCGAGAUCUUGCACUGUUAAUGUCUAUGGUGUCGAUUCUAGUGCUGGUUCUUGGCAUUGGUAUUUCAAUCUUUGCAUUGGUCAUCCGUCAGCGAAAUGACCGACUGUAUGUGGUUGAGAGCAGAGUGAGAUCCGAAGGUAGACCAGCUACAGGAAGUGGCAUCCAGCAGACAGAGGGCAGUGUUGUCAAGCGUACUCCCGCCGACAGCAGUGACGUUAACAACUCCAACCAGUCUACGUAUGAUGCCUGUAAUGGAGCUGUGACAGUUCCCAGCAUAGAGGACAUCAUUCCCUUCCCCAGUUCCCCUAAAAGAGAAGAAACUGGCAGUGUCACAUCCGACCAAUCACAAGGCUCCGAUACCAUGCUCUUCCCCAGCAUAGAUGAGCGUACAUGUCUGGUUGGGCGGUGCAAUACGACCCAGAAGCGACAGUGUAUCGGUCGACUGCGAUCCUACAUGACGAAAGUGAACGUUCAAAUGGAUGACCCACAGGCUGAGGAACCUCAGCAGUCAUACUCUAUGUUGCAAGAGGAAUACCAGACUGGACACCAUCUUGUUUUGCUGCUGCUGCUGAUACUGUCCAUGUUCAUAGGUUUGUUUUUGUGCGUGUGGCGAUUGUUCAACAGUCAUCCUACAGGAAUAUACAUCGAGAUUGAGUUCCUGGAUGGUGUCUUCAACUAUGGACAGGGUUUCCUGUCGUUUGCUGUGUUUGGCUUCGACACCAGACUCAUGUUCACACCUAUCAUCAGAAGUAGAGUUUGGCGAUACCACGUUUAAGUUUGGGUAGGAGUAUUGAGUUUUGGGAUACAUAUCUCGAUACAGGUGGAUCAAUAUUCUAUAUGUUAGAGCACGGCGUCUUAUUUACGGAGUUGAGAUUGUCCAGCUUCCGAAGCGGGAUGAGAUCAGCGAGGAGACCAAAUUUACUUGUGAUCAGUUCAGAGAGUAU